UACGGAGGAUCCGAGCGUUAUCCGGAUUUAUUGGGUUUAAAGGGAGCGUAGGUGGAUUGUUAAGUCAGUUGUGAAAGUUUGCGGCUCAACCGUAAAAUUGCAGUUGAUACUGGGUGUCUUGAGUACAGUAGAGGCAGGCGGAAUUCGUGGUGUAGCGGUGAAAUGCUUAGAUAUCACGAAGAACUCCGAUUGCGAAGGCAGCUCACUAGACUGCAACUGACACUGAUGCUCGAAAGCGUGGGGAGCAA
rnacentral:rRNA from 1 species